GGACUACCCGGGUAUCUAAUCCUGUUUGCUCCCCUAGCUUUCGCAGAUCAGCGUCAGUGACGGCCCAGAAGCCUGCUUUCGCCAUAGGUGUUCCUCCCGAUCUCUACGCAUUUCACCGCUACACCGGGAAUUCCAGCUUCCUCUGCCGCACUCAAGCCCGGUAGUUUCCCUUGACCUCUCCCAGUUAAGCCAGGAGCUUUCACAAGAGACUUACCGAACCGCCUGCCCGCGCUUUACGCCUAGUGAUUCCGAGUAACGCUUGCCACCUACGUAUUACCGCGGCUGCUGGCAC
rnacentral:rRNA from 1 species